rfam:Escherichia coli str. K-12 substr. MG1655, complete genome.
AAGAUCGUGCAAAUUCAAUAUAUUGCAUGAGCCACGUAGGCCU